AGUUCAUGGUAGAUUAACAGGAUAUGAAAACUCAAAUUGAGGAAAUUUGAAUCUAACAUGAUGUGAUUUAGAUAUUUUGAAACAUUUCAGGAUAAAGACUAUAAACUGGUGACAUAUAACUGAAGAUGAAUUCCUGAGCUUAGAGUCAGUGUAGCAGAGUCAUGCUCAGCAGAUGAUCUCUGGACCUAUUAAUACUUGUAUUCGUAUGGUACAAGAAGUUGAAUGAUGUCGCCUUCUUGAAAGAGUGAUAUUUUAAUCCCUUCUGAUACUUCUAUGACGAUGCUAAAACUAUCUCAAUAAAUUCCUUGAGAGAAAGAUAUCUUAUCUAUAUCCAACAUUACAUAAAGUACAGCAUUUUUCAGGUGAGGACAUUUUGGCACAGAAAGAUGAGGCAUUUGUCCACAGGCAUGGAAGUACCAAGUUUAGGAGUUAGAAAUUGACCCCAGUUUGUCCAGUUGAACGGCUGUGCUUAAUGCCUAUGUUAUUGAUUUCACUACCAUUAAAUGUACUGUUACAACUGCUGAACUAGAAUUUUAAAUCAUAUCGCAUGAUCUGUAUUAUUUAGAUGGCAAAUUGGAAGAAAAAUUUCCUUGAAUUCAAUUGUGAAAGAAAUAUUAAAUGUAUAAGUAUUUAACUAUUCUGAUAAUUUUGCUUGAUUUAAUUAGAAAUUGAACUUAAGAUUUCAUCACUGUACAGUAUAGAUUGAAUUGUAAGAAUGGUUAACUUUUAGAGGUGAUUUGGCAUUUUGGAGAUGUGUAAUAGUAGCUAACAAUUACAUCAAAACAUUGGACUUAGAGUUGUGU